GUGAAUCAUCGAAUUUUUGAACGCAUAUUGCACUCUCUGGUAUUCCGGAGAGUAUUCCUGUUUGAGGGUAAUUAAAAAGAAUCUUUAACCAAUUUUUUUUUUGGUCAAGGGAAAUGAUUUCUCCGCUUUUAUAUCGGUAGCUUGAAAUAAAUGGUCAAGUCUCAUUUUAGUCGAGCCGCGUAGUAAGAUUAUUUCGCAAAAUCUUCAUUAUUUGACUAUCAAGUUUUGAUGCAUACAAAUUUGGUUGUAGUACGUUCAAUCCAAAUAUUUAGAAUAUUA
rnacentral:misc_RNA from 1 species